CUGGAAAGCCUUCACCACAAAGCUGUCCCUCCUGGCAAACAGACCCAGGAAGCAGGAUGGCCAGUAACCUACUAAGAACACCCCGAGGAUGGAGUAGCCCAUCCCAGGACAGAAAACCCUUCCUGCAGAUGGUCCAUUCCCAUGAGUCCCAGCCGACCAACCAAACGUGGGCUCAGCGUGAGUUCCUGCUCCCCAAUGAAUCCUGGGAGCUGCCUGGCUUCACCACGCAACGCUACCACCAUUUGGCCCUGAAGCCACCACCCCGCACAAAAACUAAGUCCAAGGUGCAUCAGCAAGUCCUCUCCCCUUGCAAGGACGCAAGCCAGCACACCUGGGGCUUCCACACGUGGCUCGACGUGGGGCGAAUGCCCCCCACCUUUCCCACCCGGCCGGACGAGCCCUAUGAUAGCAAUGUCUGGCGCUGGCUGACAGACCCCAACGCCCAUCGGCGCCUCCCAGCAGAACCUCCCGUCCCCCCUCCCUCCCUGCUGGGCCCAAAUAGCUUUCUGGCCUUCAUCCACUCUACUCCUAUCUUCUUGGACGUGAAUAGGAAGAAGCAGGUCAUUUGUAAGACCAUGAAGGAGCUGAGGGAGGUGGAGAAACUCAAGCUGAGGAGUGAAGCAAGGGCACCCCCCCUCGAUAUCAAUGGCAACAUCCUGCCCCCAAAGAACUUCAAGAAGUACCAGCACUUUUCAGCUGGGGGAAGGUUCGAACCCCGUGGCCUCCAGCUCAUGCCCAACCCACUUCCCAAUGAUUUAGCCAAGGGUUGGCCCUGCCCGAACCCUCUGCCUCAUUACCAGGAGAAGGUGCAAAAGCUAGCCCUCUUGCCCAGCGCGCCCCUGAGCCGGGACCUUGUGAACAAUUACCAAAGCCUGCUACAGGAUCGGGUUGCCCUGCCCCUCUACUCUCUCUCCAAGGCAAAAUUUUUCAUAAGGAUGAGCAAGAGAAGACCUGGAUACACGUAGAAGAGCCUCCAGGCGGGUAGGGAGCACAGUGGGCACAGAGACCUCAGGCUCCUCUGUGCUCCUCCAAGGCCUGCCCCUUCAGCAAGAAGAUUUGGGGUGGCUAAAAGAUGCGAGGCAGAACAGAGCCUCACCAUGCCCCCAACCUCCAGCCACUUCUGUACCCCAGGCUCCUGGAGACAUUCCUGAAACUAAAUUGUUAUGUCUUCCUCGGAGGAUUCUCAUAACAGAGAGAAGUGGGGAGAAAACGUACCCUGC